rnacentral:rRNA from 1 species
AUUGAACGCUGGCGGCAUGCUUUACACGUGCAAGUCGAACGGUAACAGGCCGCAAGGUGCUGACGAGUGGCGAACGGGUGAGUAAUGCAUCGGAACGUGCCCAGUCGUGGGGGAUAACGCAGCGAAAGCUGCGCUAAUACCGCAUACGAUCUAUGGAUGAAAGCGGGGGACCGUAAGGCCUCGCGCGAUUGGAGCGGCCGAUGUCAGAUUAGGUAGUUGGUGGGGUAAAGGCUCACCAAGCCAACGAUCUGUAGCUGGUCUGAGAGGACGACCAGCCACAUUGGGACUGAGACACGGCCCAGACUCCUACGGGAGGCAGCAGUGGGGAAUUUUGGACAAUGGGCGCAAGCCUGAUCCAGCAAUGCCGCGUGCAGGAAGAAGGCCUUCGGGUUGUAAACUGCUUUUGUACGGAACGAAAAGACUCUGGUUAAUACCUGGGGUCCAUGACGGUACCGUAAGAAUAAGCACCGGCUAACUACGUGCCAGCCGCCGCAGUAAUAC